rnacentral:rRNA from 1 species
CUGCGAAUGGCUCAUUAUAUAAGUUAUCGUUUAUUUGAUAGUACCUUACUACUUGGAUAACCGUGGUAAUUCUAGAGCUAAUACAUGCUAAAAAUCCCGACUUCGGAAGGGAUGUAUUUAUUAGAUUAAAAACCAAUGCCCCUCGGGGCUCUCUGGUGAUUCAUGAUAACUUCUCGAAUCGCACGGCCUUGCGCCGGCGAUGGUUCAUUCAAAUUUCUUCCCUAUCAACUUUCGAUGUUUGGGUAGUGGCCAAACAUGGUUGCAACGGGUAACGGAGGGUUAGGGCUCGACCCCGGAGAAGGAGCCUGAGAAACGGCUACUACAUCCAAGGAAGGCAGCAGGCGCGCAAAUUACCCAAUCCCGAUCCGGGGAGGUAGUGACAAUAAAUACUGAUACAGGGCUCUUUCGGGUCUUGUAAUUGGAAUGAGUACAAUUUAAAUCCCUUAACGAGGAACAAUUGGAGGGCAAGUCUGGUGCCAGCAGCCGCGGUAAUUCCAGCUCCAAUAGCGUAUAUUAAAGUUGUUGUGGUUAAAAAGCUCGUAGUUGAACCUUGGGCCUGGCUGGCCGGUCCGCCUCACCGCGUGUCACUGGUCCGGCCGGGUCUUUCCCUCUGUGGAACCACAUGCCCUUCACUGGGCGUGGCGGGGAAACAGGACUUUUACUUUGAAAAAAUUAGAGUGCUCCAGGCAGGCCUAUGCUCGAAUACAUUAGCAUGGAAUAAUGAAAUAGGACGUGCGGUUCUAUUUUGUUGGUUUCUAGGACCGCCGUAAUGAUUAAUAGGGACAGUCGGGGGCAUCAGUAUUCAAUUGUCAGAGGUGAAAUUCUUGGAUUUAUUGAAGACUAACUACUGCGAAAGCAUUUGCCAAGGAUGUUUUCAUUAAUCAGGAACGAAAGUUAGGGGAUCGAAGACGAUCAGAUACCGUCGUAGUCUUAACCAUAAACUAUGCCGACUAGGGAUCGGACGACGUUAUUUAGUUGACUCGUUCGGCACCUUACGAGAAAUCAAAGUG